rnacentral:rRNA from 1 species
UAGGGAAUCUUCCACAAUGGACGCAAGUCUGAUGGAGCAACGCCGCGUGAGUGAAGAAGGUUUUCGGACCGUAAAGCUCUGUUGUUGGUGAAGAAGGAUAGAGGUAGUAACUGGCCUUUAUUUGACGGUAAUCAACCAGAAAGUCACGGCUAACUACGUGCCAGCAGCCGCGGUAAUACGUAGGUGGCAAGCGUUGUCCGGAUUUAUUGGGCGUAAAGCGAGCGCAGGCGGAAGAAUAAGUCUGAUGUGAAAGCCCUCGGCUUAACCGAGGAAUUGCAUCGGAAACUGUUUUCCUUGAGUGCAGAAGAGGAGAGUAGAACUCCAUGUGUAGCGGUGGAAUGCGUAGAUAUAUGGAAGAAUACCAGUGGCGAAGGCGGCUCUCUGGUCUGCAACUGACGCUGAGGCUCGAAAGCAUGGGUAGCGAACAGGAUUAGAUACCCUUGGUAGUCCAUGCC